AGAGUUUGAUCCUGGCUCAGAGCGAACGCUGGCGGCAGGCUUAACACAUGCAAGUCGAGCGGGUGUAGCAAUACAUCAGCGGCAGACGGGUGAGUAACGCGUGGGAACGUACCUUUUGGUUCGGAACAACCCAGGGAAACUUGGGCUAAUACCGGAUACGCCCUUACGGGGAAAGAUUUAUCGCCGAAAGAUCGGCCCGC
rnacentral:rRNA from 1 species